CACAGGCUCGCGAAAUCCACAACUGAAAACUCUCAGCUCUGCAGCAGCUUCCCACUGCGCUGAUGUAGACAGCUUCUCCGGUGCUGCUUAUUUUUCCGGGGGGGGGCAUGGAGAAAGUGCAGCUGCUCGCAAUCCAAAUUUGAACUUCCCUAGAAAGAAAGCACGAAGCUGGGCCUGAAUCAAGUAUUGCUCCCUGCCAUGUAAUCAGCGCCCCCACCCCGAAGGAUCAGGUGGUACAAACGGAACUGCGCAUGUCUCUCCCCAAGGCCCAAAGAUGGAGGCGGCCGAGUGAGGAGGGGUUCUCUCCACAGAGACCCGAGAAGUUGUUGGACUGCAGCAGGACAACGUCAGUGACAAAGUCCCCUGCCUACCAGAUAUGUUUGAGCGCCAUGUAUGUGUGCACUACAUUCACAAGGAGGUGGAUACAGUGUUGAAUGACAGAGAAAAUCCCUUAUCUCUUCCUCUUCUCCCUGAUGAUUUCUACUGGCGUUAUGGUUUAUUUAAACUUCAAGAAUGAGCUAAGCAGGGCAACAAACCCUAUAAUCUCAGCUACUUGGGAGAACGAAGAGAGAAGGUGGCAAGUUCAAGACCAGCCUGAGCAACAUAUCAAGACCUCAUCUCAGCAAACAGUCUCACAUUUCCUGGACUAAGCUUUAAAUACUUACUAAUGUUUUUAAGUUCUACAACAACACUUCUUCAAACUAUCGUCAAUUACUAUUUGAGAUUAAAUAUCAUUUCAUUUCUUAACAGUGUUAUCCUUCACCAUUUCCAAGAAUCAAGAGAAGGUAAAAGGUUAUUCUAAAUUUUAAAAAAUAUGAAUAAGACCCAUGGUAAUUACAAAAGGGAAAAAUAUAGAAUAUGGUAAAAAUUAAUUCAUCUUAUUUCCUAAAUUAUUAAUGUGUAUGUGUGUAUAUAUUCAUAAAGUUUAGGCACAUAAUAGCACAUAAUUCUUGCUUUUACUAAAAAUACAGCAUCUAGUAUUAUAUCAUAAUGAAAGUGUUAUCUGGUCCUAAAUUACCUCAACUACUUCUUCUGAGUGUGCUGUGACAUGACAAGAUAACAAAAUAAGUUUUGGGGGCGUUUUUUGGUACCAGGGAUUGAACUCGGGACCUUGCACUUGCAAGGCAGGCGGCAGAACCACUGAGCUAAAUCCCCGGCCCCAAAAUAAGUUUUUAACCACUUCCAUUGUUGACCAUUCUAGAGAACCUGCCCCUCCUGAGGCAUGUAUGGUAUAUGGCAUUUAUACAGAAGCUCAAAUAGAGCUUGAAGAGAAAAGUCAGACCAUUAAACAAAUACAUAUAUUCAGUGACUAUCUAAAAAGCAUGUUAUAUUAUUUUUUCCACCCAAGAUGUAAAUAACCACUAUUGGCAAUGUCAAAUCAGUAUAUGGAAUGCAAAGAGGGGAAAAAAAUGUGCUUACCAAUAUUUCCUCCAAUUUCAUACAAAAAUACUUCCCCUUUCUUUAGGGUCUGGGCAAUCCCACUAUUAGGAACAAAACAAACUGAUCAGUGUAUCAUCAAACAGCUUGCAAGUAAAUCACUUUAACAUGCAGAAGGAAUUCUGGCUGCUACAGAAAAUUCAUAACCUAGACACAUUGUAAUUAUCUAUACAUUUGUAUUUUCCCAUCUGUUAAAUGUGCCAAGUAGGUCAUAAGAAUGUCACACCUGUAAAUUAAAACAAACAAAUGGCAUCAUGCAUCUCAAGGCAAAAUAAUAAAUCAUUCUCUAACUUUGUAAAAUUAAAAAGUUAAUGCAACAUUUUAGCUGCCAAUAGAGUUAUUAAUGUGAUUAUCCAUUCUGCACAGGGGCUGGGUGUUCACACUGCAUCCAGUCACAGGGCAGCUGUGCUAAUGGUGUGUGUAAGGUGGGUUGAAGAGCUCAUUCCUCAGCGUGCUGACUAUUCAGACGUGAGAGGUAGGUGCGCGUGUCAAGGUGGGAGUGACACUUCUCAACAAACUCGUCCCCUUAAAGUAGUGGUGAAUAUUUGAGGAGGAAGAUUUGUUUACACUGACUUGGAUUUACAUGGUGGGUGCAGGUAUUCGAGUUUUAAAAGCUACGCCAUAAACAUGGACAAUUUUUGGUUUUAUGUAUCAGUAAAAAACA